CUCCUCGAAUUCUUACCGUUCGUCCUGCGUUACACGCCGGGGAAAGGAAUUCUGGGAUCGUGUGUUAUGCUGAUCCAAAAUGUUUGCAAGAAAUAAAGAAGUUGUAAGACAAUGGAUACAAGUAUAUAUUUAUAAUACAAGAAAUGACGAUUCUGAAAAAGAAGCUGAUGACCAGAAAAAGGGAUAGGAAGAUGACCUGUUUGCUUGAAGAGCGAGGGAUAGUAAUAUCUCAGAGAAUCUCUGAAAAAGAUCUCUAGAAAAGGCAAGGAAACAGAUUAUCCCCUAGAGCCUCCAGAAGGGUGAAGAACUACUUUUCAAAGGGUGAAACACAAGAAUGGCUUUUAGGAAUUUUCCCCCGAAGUAAUUUGUGACUGGAUCCUGUUGCCAAAACUUGGCCUCUGUUCACCGGUGCCGAAGAGAAAUGCGGAGACAGAGUUUUGGGUGAAGUAGAAAGGAGUAGCUUUUAUUGCUUUGCCAGGCAGAGGGGGCCACAGCGGGCUAAUGCCUUCAAGACUGUGUGACCCACCCUGGAGGCCAUAGUGAGGAGUCUUACAGUGUUCGAGGAGCAGGGCGUGAUCAGCUCGCGGACAGUUCUCGGAUUGGCUGGCAUCAAGGUCGAAGUUUCAAGCGUCAACAACCUUCUGGUUUCAACCAGUCCAGGGUCUAUGUGCUUGUGGGCAGCACUUUCCAUCUGGAGGGGGUCUGCUCCCUGUAAAACCACUUAGGAGUGUGUGUCAGGCCUUUAUCUGUAGCUUCAGUGAACUGGGAGCUCGGUGAUUCUGCCAUGUGGCAGAUUUAUAGUCUAAAUUGUUGCCCGUUCCCCAGCCCAACAGCUGUUCUUUGUUUCUACACCUUCACAUUCCCUAAUCAUUAACUGUUGAGUCAGCACUUUCCUUCAAAAGACAAGGACACGGGGCCUCAUACACGGUUUCAAUCCUGACCAGGUCUGAGAUUUACACGAUGCAUAUGCUGUUGUUUUCAUAAAUGUUAACGUCCAUAAAAUGAAGUUCUUAAAAGCAUUAUUUGAGUUCUCCAUUGAUUACUGAUUAUAUCAUCAAUACCUUCCAGCCCUGGCAGCACAGGGAGGAAGGAAGAAUUGCUGGGAUGCUUGCAUCACCACAGGGCAAGAGGUCCUCAAAUUUUACUGCUUUAUCUUUAAGUAAUACUUCAUAGUUCGGCUGACUUUUCAUCCAUUCUGCUGAUUCUGCCAGUGAGUUCCUCUGUAGUGACAGCCAAAGCCACUUACGGAAAAUACUUAAAACAACCAAGUGUAAAAGCAGAAGUCGAGGUUACUUCAUCUACUACGGAAGUGGGGCAUGUGUCUACCUCAGGCCUGAGUCUUUUGAUGGGUCUUUUGGUAAUUGGUGGCGGUGGUGGUGACAAUGUUUGAGUUGUUUUAUUUUUUAUUUUAUUUUUAAUCUUUAUUUUAUUUAUUUAUUUAUUUGGCCACGCCGGCGGGGCCUGCGGGAUCUUAGU